rnacentral:rRNA from 1 species
AGUUGCCCUUUAAUUGGGGGCUGGAAUGAAGGAUUGGACAAAAGACAAGCUGUCUUUUUUAUAAAAAUGUGAAUUUUACUUUUAAGUGAAAAGGCUUAAAUAAUUUAAGGGGACGAUAAGACCCUUUAAAGCUUAACGAGAUUGUUAUGAUUUGUGAGGUAGGGUGUUAAAGGUAUUGUUUAAUUUUUUGUUUCAUUGGGGCGAUGAAGAUAGAAUAAAUAACUGUCAAAGAUAUAAGAUAACUAUAAUUAGAGACGGGUGAUCCUUAAGUUUUAAAGAUUGAGAGAAAAAGUUACUUAAGGGAUAACAGCGUGAUUUUUUUAGAGAGUUCUUAUCGAAGAAAGUAGUUGCGACCUCGAUGUUGAAUUAAGAUUUUAUUAAAAUGCAGGUUUUUUGAUAAUAAGUCUGUUCGACUUUUAAUAUCUUA